rnacentral:rRNA from 1 species
UACGUAGGUGGCAAGCGUUGUCCGGAAUUAUUGGGCGUAAAGGGCGUGUAGGUGGAUUUUUAAGUCGUGUGUCUAAGUGCGGUGCUCAACGCCGUAUGGGCGCAGGAAACUGGAGAUCUUGAGUGCAGGAGAGGAAAGUGGAAUUCCCAGUGUAGCGGUGAAAUGCGUAGAUAUUGGGAGGAACACCAGUGGCGAAGGCGACUUUCUGGACUGUGUCUGACACUGAGGCGCGAAAGCUAGGGGAGCGAACGGG